CAGCAGCCGCGGUAACACGGAGGGUGCAAGCGUUAAUCGGAAUUACUGGGCGUAAAGCGUGCGUAGGCGGUUCGUUAAGUCUGUUGUGAAAGCCCCGGGCUCAACCUGGGAAUGGCAAUGGAUACUGGCGAGCUAGAGUGUGUCAGAGGAUGGUGGAAUUCCCGGUGUAGCGGUGAAAUGCGUAGAGAUCGGGAGGAACAUCAGUGGCGAAGGCGGCCAUCUGGGACAACACUGACGCUGAGGCACGAAAGCGUGGGGAGCAAACAGGAUUAGAUACCCCCGUAGUCCCUGUCUCUUAUAC
rnacentral:rRNA from 1 species